rnacentral:tRNA from 1 species
GCACUAGUAGCUUAUGUAAAGCCUUGGUCUUGUAAACCAAAAGAUGAAGAUUCACCUCUUCCUAGGGCA